UACGUAGGGGGCUAGCGUUGUCCGGAAUCAUUGGGCGUAAAGAGCGCGUAGGCGGCCAGAUAAGUCCGGUGUGAAAGUCACAGGCUCAACCUGUGAAUGCCGCUGGAAACUGUCUGGCUAGAGUCCGGAAGGGGCGAGUGGAAUUCCUGGUGUAGCGGUGAAAUGCGCAGGAUAUCAGGAGGAACACCAAUGGCGAAGGCAGCUCGCUGGGACGGUACUGACGCUGAGGCGCGAAAGCGUGGGGAGCGAACAGG
rnacentral:rRNA from 1 species